rnacentral:rRNA from 1 species
ACGCUUUUUCUCCCGUGUCCCUAGUAGAGAGGAAAUACCCAGUCCCAUCCCGAACCUGGAAGUCAAGCUCUCUAACGCCGAUGAUACUGCCCUUUGCAAGGGUGGGAAAGUAGGGUGAUGCGGGGGAUUUUAAUCCAC